rnacentral:rRNA from 1 species
UGCCAUCCGCCGCGGUAAUACGGAGGGUGCGAGCGUUAAUCGGAAUCACUGGGCGUAAAGCGUACGCAGGCGGCUCGUUAAGUCGGGUGUGAAAGCCCGGGGCUCAACCCCGGAACUGCAUUCGAAACUGGCGGGCUUGAAUACGGGAGAGGGAAGCGGAAUUCCUGGUGUAGAGGUGAAAUUCGUAGAUAUCAGGAGGAACACCAGUGGCGAAAGCGGCUUCCUGGCCCGAUAUUGACGCUCAUGUACGAAAGCGUGGGGAGCGAACAGGAUUAGAUA